UACGAAGGGAGCAAGCGUUAUCCGGAAUUACUGGGCGUAAAGGGUCUGUAGGCGGUGCGGCAAGUCGGAAGUGAAAUCGCAGGGCUUAACUCUGCGGCUGCUUCCGAAACUGCCGUGCUCGAGUGUGAGAUAGGCGAGUGGAAUUGCAGGUGUAGCGGUGAAAUGCGUAGAUAUCUGCAGGAACAUCCGAGGCGAAAGCGGCUCGCUGGAUCACAACUGACGCUGAGAGACGAAAGCUAGGGGAGCAAACAGG
rnacentral:rRNA from 1 species